UUAAAGCACUAUUUAAGUGAAAAGAAACUUAUUGCAACAAAUUUCCAUUAAAAUAUAUCACAUUUAAAAAUUUUGCUACAUUGCUUAAAAAUGAGGAAAAUUUUACAUUUUCUCGAACAGGGUAAGGAACUUGGUUCCUCGAAUAACUUCUGGCACAGACAUCUGAGGGCAUGGCCGUCCAAGAAGAAAAUGUAGCCAUUAAUGCCAUCUAUCGACCACAGGUUAAAGAUUGGCGAUCCGUUGGAUACCGACCGAGUUAUAGGCAAAAGUUGGUGCGAAAAUGAAGAAAAUUUUACAUUUUCUCAAACAGGGUAAGGAACUUGCUUCCUCGAAUAACUUCUGGCACAGACAUCUGAGGGCAUGGCCGUCCAAGAAGAAAAUGUAGCCAUUAAUGCCAUCUAUCGACCACAGGUUAAAGAUUGGCGAUCCGUUAGAUAUAGAUCGAGUUAUAGGCAAAGGUUGGUGCAAAAAUGAGCCUUAGUAAAUUUUCAUUUUUUUGAAAUUUUUGAUUUAUUUUAUUAUUUUUCACUUUUUUUUUAUUUGAAACAUUACUAGAGUGAAAAGAAACUCAUUGCAACCAAUUGGCAUUAAAAUAAAUCAAUUUCAUUUUUUUUGCAAAAUUUCCCAAAAAAAUCGUAAGGGGUAAGCCUUAUGAAAUUUUCGAGUUGAAAAUUUUUUGAAAUUUUUUUUCUGAUUUUGUAUUCUUUUUUUAAUUUAAAGCACUAUUUAAGUGAAAAGAAACUUAUUGCAACAAAUUUCCAUUAAAAUAUGUCACAUUUAAAAAUUUUGCUACAUUGCUUAAAAAUGAGGAAAAUUUUACAUUUUCUCGAACAGGGUAAGGAACUUAGUUCCUCGAAUAACUUCUGGCACAGACAUCUGAGGGCAUGGCCGUCCAAGAAGAAAAUGUAGCCAUUAAUGCCAUCUAUCGACCACAGGUUAAAGAUUGGCGAUCCGUUGGAUACCGACCGAGUUAUAGGCAAAAGUUGGUGCGAAAAUGAAGAAAAUUUUACAUUUUCUCAAACAGGGUAAGGAACUUGCUUCCUCGAAUAACUUCUGGCACCGACAUCUGAGGGCAUGGCCGUCCAAGAAGAAAAUGUAGCCAUUAAUGUCAUCUAUCGACCACAGGUUAAAGAUUGGCGAUCCGUUGGAUACAGAUCGAGUUAUAGGCAAAAGUUGGUGCGAAAAUGAAGAAAAUUUUACAUUUUCUCAAACAGGGUAAGGAACUUGCUUCCUCGAAUAACUUCUGGCACAGACAUCUGAGGGCAUGGCCGUCCAAGAAGAAAAUGUAGCCAUUAAUGCCAUCUAUCGACCACAGGUUAAAGAUUGGCGAUCCGUUGGAUACAGAUCGAGUUAUAGGCAAAAGUUGGUGCAAAAAUGAGCCUUAGUAAAUUUUCAUUUUUUUGAAAUUUUUGAUUUUUUUUAUUAUUUUUCACUUUUUUUUAUUUGAAACAUUACUAGAGUGAAAAGAAACUCAUUGCAACCAAUUGGCAUUAAAAUAAAUCAAUUUUAUUUUUUUUUUGCAAAAUUUCCCAAAAAAAUCGUAAGGGGUAAGCCUUAUGAAAUUUUCGAGUGGAAAAUUUUUUGAAAUUUUUUUUCUGAUUUUGUAUUCUUUUUUUAAUUUAAAGCAUUAUUUGAGUGAAAAGGAACUUAUUGCAACAAAUUUCCAUUAAAAUAUAUCACAUUUAAAAAUUUUGCUACAUUGCUUAAAAAUGAGGAAAAUUUUACAUUUUCUCGAACAGGGUAAGGAACUUGGUUCCUCGAAUAACUUCUGGCACAGACAUCUGAGGGCAUGGUCGUUCAAGAAGAAAAUAUAGCCAUUAAUGCCAUCUAUCGACCACAGGUUAAAGAUUGGCGAUCCGUUGGAUACCGACCGAGUUAUAGGCAAAAGUUGGUGCGAAAAUGAAGAAAAUUUUGCAUUUUCUCAAACAGGGUAAGGAACUUGCUUCCUCGAAUAACUUCUGGCACAGACAUCUGAGGGCAUGGCCGUCCAAGAAGAAAAUGUAGCCAUUAAUGCCAUCUAUCGACCACAGGUUAAAGAUUGGCGAUCCGUUGGAUACAGAUCGAGUUAUAGGCAAAAGUUGGUGCAAAAAUGAGCCUUAGUAAAUUUUCAUUUUUUUGUAUUUUUUGAUUAUUUUUAUUAUUUUUCACUUUUUUUUUUAUUUGAAACAUUACUAGAGUGAAAAGAAACUCAUUGCAACCAAUUGGCAUUAAAUUAAAUCAAUUUUAUUUUUUUUGCAAAAUUUCCCAAAAAAAUCGUAAGGGGUAAGCCUUAUGAAAUUUGCGAGUGGAAAAUUUUUUGAAAAUUUUUUUCUGAUUUUGUAUUCUUUUUUUAAUUUAUAGCACUAUUUAAGUGAAAAGAAACUUAUUGCAACAAAUUUCCAUUAAAAUAUAUCACAUUUAAAAAUUUUGCUACAUUGCUUAAAAAUGAGGAAAAUUUUACAUUUUCUCGAACAGGGUAAGGAACUUGGUUCCUCGAAUAACUUCUGGCACAGACAUCUGAGGGCAUGGUCGUUCAAGAAGAAAAUGUAGCCAUUAAUGCCAUCUAUCGACCACAGGUUAAAGAUUGGCGAUCCGUUGGAUACCGACCGAGUUAUAGGCAAAAGUUGGUGCGAAAAUGAAGAAAAUUUUACAUUUUCUCAAACAGGGUAAGAAACUUGCUUCCUCGAAUAACUUCUGACACAGACAUCUGAGGGCAUGGCCGUCCAAGAAGAAAAUGUAGCCAUUAAUGCCAUCUAUCGACCACAGGUUAAAGAUUGGCGAUCCGUUGGAUACAGAUCGAGUUAUAGGCAAAAGUUGGUGCAAAAAUGAGCCUUAGUAAAUUUUCAAUUUUUUGAAAUUUUUGAUUUUUUUUAUUAUUUUUCACUUUUUUUUUAUUUGAAACAUUACUAGAGUGAAAAGAAACUCAUUGCAACCAAUUGGCAUUAACUUAAAUCAAUUUUAUUUUUUUUGCAAAAUUUGCCAAAAAAAUCGUAAGGGGUAAGCCUUAUGAAAUUUUCGAGUGGAAAAUUUUUUGAAAUUUUUUUCUGAUUUUGUAUUCUUUUUUUAAUUUAUAGCACUAUUUAAGUGAAAAGAAACUUAUUGCAACAAAUUUCCAUUAAAAUAUAUCACAUUUAAAAAUUUUGCUACAUUGCUUAAAAAUGAGGAAAAUUUUACAUUUUCUCGAACAGGGUAAGGAACUUGGUUCCUCGAAUAACUUCUGGCACAGACAUCUGAGGGCAUGGCCGUCCAAGAAGAAAAUGUACCCAUUAAUGCCAUCUAUCGACCACAGGUUAAAGAUUGGCGAUCCGUUGGAUACCGACCGAGUUAUAGGCAAAAGUUGGUGCGAAAAUGAAGAAAAUUUUACAUUUUCUCAAACAGGGUAAGGAACUUGCUUCCUCGAAUAACUUCUGGCACAGACAUCUGAGGGCAUGGCCGUCCAAGAAGAAAAUGUAGCCAUUAAUGCCAUCUAUCGACCACAGGUUAAAGAUUGGCGAUCCGUUGGAUACAGAUCGAGUUAUAGGCAAAAGUUGGUGCAAAAAUGAGCCUUAGUAAAUUUUCAUUUUUUUUGAAUUUUUUGAUUUUUUUUAUUAUUUUUCACUUUUUUUUUUAUUUGAAACAUUACUAGAGUGAAAAGAAACUCAUUGCAACCAAUUGGCAUUAAAAUAAAUCAAUUUUAUUUUUUUUGCAAAAUUUCCCAAAAAAAUCGUAAGGGGUAAGCCUUAUGAAAUUUUCGAGUGGAAAAUUUUUUGAAAAUUUUUUUCUGAUUUUGUAUUCUUUUUUUAAUUUAUAGCACUAUUUAAGUGAAAAGAAACUUAUUGCAACAAAUUUCCAUUAAAAUAUAUCACAUUUAAAAAUUUUGCUACAUUGCUUAAAAAUGAGGAAAAUUUUACAUUUUCUCGAACAGGGUAAGGAACUUGGUUCCUCGAAUAACUUCUGGCACAGACAUCUGAGGGCAUGGCCGUCCAAGAAGAAAAUGUACCCAUUAAUGCCAUCUAUCGACCACAGGUUAAAGAUUGGCGAUCCGUUGGAUACCGACCGAGUUAUAGGCAAAAGUUGGUGCGAAAAUGAAGAAAAUUUUACAUUUUCUCAAACAGGGUAAGGAACUUGCUUCCUCGAAUAACUUCUGGCACAGACAUCUGAGGGCAUGGCCGUCCAAGAAGAAAAUGUAGCCAUUAAUGCCAUCUAUCGACCACAGGUUAAAGAUUGGCGAUCCGUUGGAUACAGAUCGAGUUAUAGGCAAAAGUUGGUGCAAAAAUGAGCCUUAGUAAAUUUUCAUUUUUUUUUUAAUUUUUUGAUUUUUUUUAUUAUUUUUCACUUUUUUUUUUAUUUGAAACAUUACUAGAGUGAAAAGAAACUCAUUGCAACCAAUUGGCAUUAAAAUAAAUCAAUUUUAUUUUUUUUGCAAAAUUUCCCAAAAAAAUCGUAAGGGGUAAGCCUUAUGAAAUUUUCGAGUGGAAAAUUUUUUGAAAAUUUUUUUCUGAUUUUGUAUUCUUUUUUUAAUUUAUAGCACUAUUUAAGUGAAAAGAAACUUAUUGCAACAAAUUUCCAUUAAAAUAUAUCACAUUUAAAAAUUUUGCUACAUUGCUUAAAAAUGAGGAAAAUUUUACAUUUUCUCGAACAGGAUAAGGAACUUGGUUCCUCGAAUAACUUCUGGCACAGACAUCUGAGGGCAUGGCCGUCCAAGAAGAAAAUGUAGCCAUUAAUGCCAUCUAUCGACCACAGGUUAAAGAUUGGCGAUCCGUUGGAUACCGACCGAGUUAUAGGCAAAAGUUGGUGCGAAAAUGAAGAAAAUUUUACAUUUUCUCAAACAGGGUAAGGAACUUGCUUCCUCGAAUAACUUCUGGCACAUACAUCUGAGGGCAUGGCCGUCCAAGAAGAAAAUGUAGCCAUUAAUGCCAUCUAUCGACCACAGGUUAAAGAUUGGCGAUCCGUUGGAUACAGAUCGAGUUAUAGGCAAAAGUUGGUGCAAAAAUGAGCCUUAGUAAAUUUUCAUUUUUUUGAAAUUUUUGAUUUUUUUUAUUAUUUUUCACUUUUUUUUUUAUUUGAAACAUUACUAGAGUGAAAAGAAACUCAUUGCAACCAAUUGGCAUUAAAAUAAAUCAAUUUUAUUUUUUUUGCAAAAUUUCCCAAAAAAAUCGUAAGGGGUAAGCCUUAUGAAAUUUUCGAGUGGAAAAUUUUUUGAAAUUUUUUUUCUGAUUUUGUAUUCUUUUUUUAAUUUAAAGCAUUAUUUGAGUGAAAAGGAACUUAUUGCAACAAAUUUCCAUUAAAAUAUAUCACAUUUAAAAAUUUUGCUACAUUGCUUAAAAAUGAGGAAAAUUUUACAUUUUCUCGAACAGGGUAAGGAACUUGGUUCCUCGAAUAACUUCUGGCACAGACAUCUGAGGGCAUGGUCGUUCAAGAAGAAAAUGUAGCCAUUAAUGCCAUCUAUCGACCACAGGUUAAAGAUUGGCGAUCCGUUGGAUACCGACCGAGUUAUAGGCAAAAGUUGGUGCGAAAAUGAAGAAAAUUUUACAUUUUCUCAAACAGGGUAAGGAACUUGCUUCCUCGAAUAACUUCUGGCACAGACAUCUGAGGGCAUGGCCGUCCAAGAAGAAAAUGUAGCCAUUAAUGCCAUCUAUCGACCACAGGUUAAAGAUUGGCGAUCCGUUGGAUACCGACCGAGUUAUAGGCAAAAGUUGGUGCGAAAAUGAAGAAAAUUUUACAUUUUCUCAAACAGGGUAAGGAACUUGCUUCCUCGAAUAACUUCUGGCACAUACAUCUGAGGGCAUGGCCGUCCAAGAAGAAAAUGUAGCCAUUAAUGCCAUCUAUCGACCACAGGUUAAAGAUUGGCGAUCCGUUGGAUACAGAUCGAGUUAUAGGCAAAAGUUGGUGCAAAAAUGAGCCUUAGUAAAUUUUCAUUUUUUUGAAAUUUUUGAUUUUUUUUAUUAUUUUUCACUUUUUUUUAUUUGAAACAUUACUAGAGUGAAAAGAAACUCAUUGCAACCAAUUGGCAUUAAAAUAAAUCAAUUUUAUUUUUUUUGCAAAAUUUGCCAAAAAAAUCGUAAGGGGUAAGCCUUAUGAAAUUUUCGAGUGGAAAAUUUUUUGUAAUUUUUUUUCUGAUUUUGUAUUCUUUUUUUAAUUUAAAGCAUUAUUUGAGCGAAAUGGAACUUAUUGCAACAAAUUUCCAUUAAAAUAUAUCACAUUUAAAAAUUUUGCUACAUUGCUUAAAAAUGAGGAAAAUUUUACAUUUUCUCGAACAGGGUAAGGAACUUGGUUCCUCGAAUAACUUCUGGCACAGACAUCUGAGGGCAUGGUCGUUCAAGAAGAAAAUGUAGCCAUUAAUGCCAUCUAUCGACCACAGGUUAAAGAUUGGCGAUCCGUUAGAUACCGACCGAGUUAUAGGCAAAAGUUGGUGCGAAAAUGAAGAAAAUUUUACAUUUUCUCAAACAGGGUAAGGAACUUGCUUCCUCGAAUAACUUCUGUCACAUACAUCUGAGGGCAUGGCCGUCCAAGAAGAAAAUGUAGCCAUUAAUGCCAUCUAUCGACCACAGGUUAAAGUUUGGCGAUCCGUUGGAUAUAGAUCGAGUUAUAGGCAAAAGUUGGUGCAAAUCUGAGCCUUAGUAAAUUUUCAUUUUUUUGAAAUUUUUGAUUUUUUUUAUUAUUUUUCACUUUUUUUUUAUUUGAAACAUUACUAGAGUGAAAAGAAACUCAUUGCAACCAAUUGGCAUUAAAAUAAAUCAAUUUUAUUUUUUUUGCAAAAUUUCCCAAAAAAAUCGUAAGGGGUAAGCCUUAUGAAAUUUUCGAGUGGAAAAUUUUUUGAAAUUUUUUUUCUGAUUUUGUAUUCUUUUUUUAAUUUAAAGCAUUAUUUGAGUGAAAAGGAACUUAUUGCAACAAAUUUCCAUUAAAAUAUAUCACAUUUAAAAAUUUUGCUACAUUGCUUAAAAAUGAGGAAAAUUUUACAUUUUCUCGAACAGGGUAAGGAACUUGGUUCCUCGAAUAACUUCUGGCACAGACAUCUGAGGGCAUGGUCGUUCAAGAAGAAAAUGUAGCCAUUAAUGCCAUCUAUCGACCACAGGUUAAAGAUUGGCGAUCCGUUAGAUACCGACCGAUUUAUAGGCAAAAGUUGGUGCGAAAAUGAAGAAAAUUUUACAUUUUCUCAAACAGGGUAAGGAACUUGCUUCCUCGAAUAACUUCUGUCACAUACAUCUGAGGGCAUGGCCGUCCAAGAAGAAAAUGUAGCCAUUAAUGCCAUCUAACGACCACAGGUUAAAGUUUGGCGAUCCGUUGGAUAUAGAUCGAGUUAUAGGCAAAAGUUGGUGCAAAACUGAGCCUUAGUAAAUUUUCAUUUUUUUGAAAUUUUGGAUUUAUUUUAUUAUUUUUCACUUUUUUUUUAUUUGAAACAUUACUAGAGUGAAAAGAAACUCAUUGCAACCAAUUGGCAUUAAAAUAAAUCAAUUUUAUUUUUUUUGCAAAAUUUCCCAAAAAAAUCGUAAGGGGUAAGCCUUAUGAAAUUUUCGAGUGGAAAAUUUUUUGAAUUUUUUUUUCUGAUUUUGUAUUCUUUUUUUAAUUUAAAGCAUUAUUUGAGUGAAAAGGAACUUAUUGCAACAAAUUUCCAUUAAAAUAUAUCACAUUUAAAAAUUUUGCUACAUUGCUUAAAAAUGAGGAAAAUUUUACAUUUUCUCGAACAGGGUAAGGAACUUGGUUCCUCGAAUAACUUCUGGCACAGACAUCUGAGGGCAUGGUCGUUCAAGAAGAAAAUGUAGCCAUUAAUGCCAUCUAUCGACCACAGGUUAAAGAUUGGCGAUCCGUUAGAUACCGACCGAGUUAUAGGCAAAAGUUGGUGCGAAAAUGAAGAAAAUUUUACAUUUUCUCAAACAGGGUAAGGAACUUGCUUCCUCGAAUAACUUCUGUCACAUACAUCUGAGGGCAUGGCCGUCCAAGAAGAAAAUGUAGCCAUUAAUGCCAUCUAACGACCACAGGUUAAAGUUUGGCGAUCCGUUGGAUAUAGAUCGAGUUAUAGGCAAAAGUUGGUGCAAAACUGAGCCUUAGUAAAUUUUCAUUUUUUUGAAAUUUUGGAUUUAUUUUAU